CAGUCGCCGCGGUAAUACGUAGGGUGCAAGCGUUAAUCGGAAUUACUGGGCGUAAAGCGUGCGCAGGCGGUUGUGUAAGACAGGUGUGAAAUCCCCGGGCUUAACCUGGGAAUUGCAUUUGUGACUGCACGACUAGAGUGUGUCAGAGGGGGGUGGAAUUCCACGUGUAGCAGUGAAAUGCGUAGAUAUGUGGAGGAACACCAAUGGCGAAGGCAGCCUCCUGGGAUAACACUGACGCUCAUGCACGAAAGCGUGGGGAGCAAACAGGAUUAGAUACCCGUGUAGUCCCUGUCUCUUAUAA
rnacentral:rRNA from 1 species